GACGAACGCUGGCGGCGUGCCUAAUACAUGCAAGUUGAGCGCUGAAGGUUGGUACUUGUACCAACUGGAUGAGCAGCGAACGGGUGAGUAACGCGUGGGGAAUCUGCCUUUGAGCGGGGGACAACAUUUGGAAACGAAUGCUAAUACCGCAUAAAAACUUUAAACACAAGUUUUAAGUUUGAAAGAUGCAAUUGCAUCACUCAAAGAUGAUCCCGCGUUGUAUUAGCUAGUUGGUGAGGUAAAGGCUCACCAAGGCGAUGAUACAUAGCCGACCUGAGAGGGUGAUCGGCCAAAUUGGGACUGAGACACGGCCCAAACUCCUACGGGAGGCAGCAGUAGGGGAUCUUCGGCAAGGGACGAAAGUCUGACCGAGCAACGCCGCGUGAGUGAAGAAGGUUUUCGGAUCGUAAAACUCUGUUGGUAGAGAAGAACGUUGGUGAGAGUGGAAAGCUCAUCAAGUGACGGUAACUACCCAGAAAGGGACGGCUAACUACGUG
rnacentral:rRNA from 1 species